rfam:Arabis alpina cultivar Pajares scaff_39552_1_contig_0, whole genome shotgun sequence.
UUUCUCUAAUAUAGGAAUUAGAAUUGAUUAUGACAUAGGCCUAUCUACAAGUCUUGACCAAAAUACGUGCCAGCAGUCGCGGUAAGACGUAAAAGACAAGUGUUAUUCAUCUUUACCAGGUUUAAAGGGUACCUAGACGGUAAAAAUCGUCUUAUAUAAGAUACGAUUAUACUAGAGUUAUAUAUAAGGAGGUGAGUAUUUAUGGAGUGCGAGAGUUGAAAUUUGUUCAUACCAUAAGGACUGGUAAAGGCGAAAGCAACCUUUUAUGUAAUAACUGACGUUGAGGGACGAAGGCUCGGGUAGCGAACAGGAUGUGCGACCUGAAAAGCUCUAAUAAAAACU